AACCUCAUUAGAAAUUAGCUGAGUCUAAACCCUGAUCGAAUCAGGAUCAAAUUUCUCUUGUAAUCAGGUUUGAUCAUAUCAAUCUCAAUCUGAGUCAAACUGAAUCUAAUUCAAUUAGACUUGUUCCAAAGCUCUUUACUCAAUCAAAUUGAGUCAAUUAGUAAUCUAAUUACUAAUUAAUUCUCUAUAAAUGGUAGAGUUUCAGUCCCAAUGGGAUUAUCCCAC
rnacentral:lncRNA from 1 species